ACUCACUCUUAUGGAAGAAUAUUAGACUCAAAUGUUUUGUAUGUGUGUAUCACGUUUUGAAACUGUAGAAAUGAUUUGUAACUGUAAAAAUGAUCCGUACAAGUAAUUGUCAAAAUUACAAAUACGCCCUACACUUACAAAUCUAUUCUACAGGUACGGAUCGGUUUUACAGCUACAAAUCAUCCUACAGUUAAAAAUAUUUUUCCAUUACAAAAAUAUUCUACAAAUCAAUAUUCUACGCACAAAAAGUUGUCCUACAGUUACACAUCUUUUCUGCAAGUGCACAGACUUUUGCACCACCUUAGGGAUGAGAAGUGUCUCA